UACGAAGGGGGCUAGCGUUGCUCGGAAUCACUGGCGUAAAGCGCACGUAGGCGGAUCUUUAAGUCAGGGGUGAAAUCCUGGAGCUCAACUCCAGAACUGCCUUUGAUACUGAGGAUCUCGAGUCCGGAGAGGUGGUAGUGGAACUGCGAGUGUAGAGGUGAAAUUCGUAGAUAUUCGCAAGAACACCAGUGGCGAAGGCGGCUCACUGGCCCGGUACUGACGCUGAGGUGCGAAGCG
rnacentral:rRNA from 1 species